rnacentral:rRNA from 1 species
UACAGAGGGUGCAAGCGUUAAUCGGAAUUACUGGGCGUAAAGCGCGCGUAGGUGGUUUGUUAAGUUGGAUGUGAAAGCCCCGGGCUCAACCUGGGAACUGCAUCCAAAACUGGCAAGCUAGAGUACGGUAGAGGGUGGUGGAAUUUCCUGUGUAGCGGUGAAAUGCGUAGAUAUUGGGAGGAACACCAGUGGCGAAGGCGGCUCACUGGACUGGUACUGACGCUGAGGCGCGAAAGCGUGGGGAGCAAACGGG